rnacentral:rRNA from 1 species
GAGGCCUUAUAACAACAUCAUCCUCACACCUGUGAACACGUUCGGGCUCGGUUGAUGCCGGCCCGGAACCUUUACAAACAUAUGUGUAAUGAACGUAUAUUAUCGUAACAAAAACAAAACUUUCAACAACGGAUCUCUUGGCUCUCGCAUCGAUGAAGAACGCAGCGAAAUGCGAUAAGUAAUGUGAAUUGCAGAAUUCAGUGAAUCAUCGAAUCUUUGAACGCACCUUGCGCCUCUUGGUAUUCCGAGAGGCAUGCCUGUUUGAGUGUCAUGAAAUCUCAAUCCCCAUGGGUUUUUGCGAACCUGUGGUGGACUUGGAAUUGGGCGUCUUUUGCCUCCCCAGGCUCGCCUCAAAUGUAUCUGUGGGAUCUCUGUGACCCAUGCCCGACGUAAUAAGUUUCGUCAUGGCCGGUCUGCAGGGGCCUGCUUAUAACACACCAUAUC